ACGGAAGGCAGCAGCUAAGAAUAUUCCGCAAUGGACGAAAGUCUGACGGAGCGACGCCGCGUGGAUGAUGAAGGUCGGAAGAUUGUAAAAUCCUUUUAUGACUGAGGAAUAAGCAGUGUGAGAGAAACGCAUUGUGGUGACUGUAGGUCAUGAAUAAGCAACGGCUAAUUACGUGCCAGCAGCCGCGGUAACACGUAAGUUGCGAGCGUUGUUCGGAAUUAUUGGGCGUAAAGGGCAUGUAGGCGGUUUUGCAAGCUUGGUGUGAAAUCUCGGAGCUCAACUCCGAAAUUGCGUUGAGAACUGCAUAACUAGAGUGACUGAGGGACAGGCAGAAUUCCAGGUGUAGGGGUGAAAUCUGUAGAUAUCUGGAAGAAUACCAAUGGCGAAGGCAGCCUGCCAGCAGAUGACUGACGCUGAGGUGCGAAGGUGCGGGGAGCAAACAGGAUUAGAUACCCUGGUA
rnacentral:rRNA from 1 species